rnacentral:rRNA from 1 species
AUUGAACGCUGGCGGAAUGCUUUCCACAUGCAAGUCGAACGGCAGCACGGGUGCUUGCACCUGGUGGCGAGUGGCGAACGGGUGAGUAAUACAUCGGAACGUACCCAGUUGUGGGGGAUAACUCACCGAAAGGUUGGCUAAUACCGCAUACGCCCUGAGGGUGAAAGCGGGGGACCGUAAGGCCUCGCGCAAUUGGAGCGGCCGAUGUGUGAGUAGCGAGUUGGGGAGGUAAAGGCUCACCAAGGCGACGAUCAGUAGUGGGUCUGAGAGGCCGGUUUGCCAUACUGGAAGUGAGACACGGUCCAGGCUCCUACGGGGGGCAGCAGUGGGAAAUGUUGGACAAGGGGGGAAAGCCUGAUGCAGCCAUUCCGCGUGGGGGAAGAGGGCCUUCGGGUUGUAAAGCGCUUUCGGCAGGGAAGAAACGCUCUGGACUAAUACUCAGGGGUAAUGACGGUACCUGAAGAAGAAGCACCGGCUAACUACGUGCCAGCAGCCGCCGUAAUAC